rnacentral:misc_RNA from 1 species
GUGAGUCAUCGAAUCUUUGAACGCACAUUGCGCCCAUUGGUAUUCCGAUGGGCAUGCCUGUUCGAGCGUCAUUUCAACCAUCAAGCCCAGCUUGGUAUUGGAAACGGUCCUUUGGGACCUUUCUACAACCCGUCGGCGGUACCUUUAGGCCCUGCAGCGUAGUAAAACUUUCGCUUUGGUGUUUGAAGGUUUCCUGCCACGAAACCAUUUCUGAAUUUUGACCUCGGAUCAGGUAAGAAUACCCGCUGAACUUAAGCAUAUCAAUAAGCGGAGGA